UGUCUGUGGUUAUCACAAAGACGUCAAGCAUUUGAACAGACACUACAACACAGAACAUUCAAUCAACUCAUUACGUAUCUUUCACUCACUUGUAGCUCUCCCAUUCGGAAUCCAUAGCAACCACUCCCAAAACCGACAAAUGAAAAUACAUUUAGAGAGGAACUCUUCGAAAGAUCCAUUUAGAACAGAUGACCAUCCGACUCUUACAAGCCAAACCCAAACCCUUGCCCAAUGCAAGUAGCUACAGGAACACAGAACCUGAGACAGGCUUUUGGCUGGGUGUCAGGGCCUGAAUUUAAAAGGUAUCUUGUAUAAUUGUAUUAAUUAGGAUCUGUAAGGCAAAACAGAUCCUGGAUCAGCAAUAUUACUUAGACUCUUGUAUGGUUUGUUUGUACAUACUGGCCCAGUUCUAAAUGGCUCUUCAGAGAGACUCGAUCUAUAAAGUGGACCAUGGUUCUCUGAACUGACCGUCGGCCCUAAUGUGUUGCUAAGCGGCAGGCACAGUGACUACACAAUCCCAUUUGCACUGCAUAACGCCACACAUUCAGUCAUCCUCUGAUUACUAAACAAAAGGACGAAAAGCAACAGCCUAUAGUUUUUUGUUUGAUCAGGUCAUGCCAAGUCGCAGCAUUUCUGGUACAUUUUACAAUACAUUUUACAAGGUUGCAAGAUGCACACACACUCCCUCUCAUACAUGCUCACACACACAAAAAAAACAUUUACAUCUGUUUGUUGAACAUACAGGUAUAAUUCAUAACUUCAUAUCAGCAUUGAAAAGUACCUACAGAAAAACAACAAAAAAUACACUGACAACACAAGGCCAGCUAGAAGAAGUGUUCCAUGUUGUUUUGUCUGCAACGAGGCACCAGAAAGAACAGUUUUGAAUUCCCCUAGAGGAACUCGUAGGCAGUUCGGAGGAUGCCACCAUUUUGACAACACAGCUCUAACUGGGUUGCUUUGAGUAAUAUUAUUACAAUCCAUAUAAAAUCAUUUACAUUUUGGGUAAAUGUCUCGAGUACAAAAAAGGCACUGCCAUUUGUUAUUCUAAAUAUGACUUCCCAGCCUCAUGCAUGCAUUUCUAAAAUAUAAAUUACUUUUUUCUUCUUUUUUACCCCCUCUUAAUUUUUAUGGUUUUUUUGCCUUUUCAAGUUUUUUUUCUUAAACAUAGGAUAUUCUUUUUCUUCUUCAAAUAUAUAUGUAAGCCUGCAGUCAAUACAGGACAUCGGCUCUGAUAACAAAAACAAACAAAUAGCACAGUAAAGCGGUAGACGUUUUGUUACAGUAUGGAUGCUUUCUCGAAUUUACAAAAAAAAAAAAGAAUGUCUCGCCAUCGAAUAAUGAUGCGAUAUCUGACUAUGUGCAGAGUCUUACAAAUUGAGUAAAAAAUUAAAAAUAAACUGAAACUGCGCAAAUCUUCAUUUACACUACAUUAAAUAAUAAUAUAUUUGGAAUAUUGAGGUUUUCAUCUAACAGUUAAUACUGUAGUGUGUCUGUGGAUCUCUCUCUUUCAGAGAGCGGGGAGAGCCCUCUAGUUUUGAUGCACUUUGGAAAUCAAAAAAAUGAACCCUUUUUUUGUGACACACGAGGUGAGCAGCUUCCGGAGGAGUCAAAGUCCGAUCCACUCCUGGUCCGGCUACUUCUCCCGGAGCUGCAGUAAUAAUGACCACAUUCACUACUGUUUUACUGCCAUUCUGUUUACCACUUCUGCUCCAUUGCUCUGAGACACACACAGUAUAAGCGCACAACCUAAUUGGCAGUGGUUAGUGUAUGUACGUCCCACUCAUUCUCUAUCCUCUGACCUACAGUUGUUGCCACGUCCAUCGCGAUGCCAUCGCUAGCCACGCGCUGGCAGUCGGCUCGGCAUUGGCUGACCAUUCCCUUAGGGCUGGGCCACUGGACCUCCAGCUUCUGAGGUUUACUGUCGCCUGUUCUAUUUGGCAAUGUUUCAAAGGGCCGUCGCCCCGUAUCCAGUUUGUUUUGCUGGUGGCUCAAUCAAGAAGUGAACUUUGUGACUGAAAGAGUAUUUAGGGGGUAACCAACUCCUUCUUAGCUUUAGAAAGAGCCACCUUCAGCCUAUUGGCCAACCAGGAAGAUACAAGCGUUUCUAAAGCAUCAAAAAUAAUUCACAUACCAACAACACCCCAAUAGAUGUCUCUUUC
ensembl:lncRNA